UGCAUCGUGAUUCGAUAUUCUAAACUUUCACGAGACGGCAUCUCACUUGUCUUAGUAUUGCAUCUACCAAUGUUAGGUGGGAGGCGGGGUCAAGGGCAAGAUCUGACAAGUAUAAAUACGUCUCAUGAGUGGGGAAUUUGACGAUUAGUAUGUAUAUCGCAUAUCAUGCUUUAUCCUCAAAUACUCCGUUUUAAUUGAUAGUCAUAAAUGAUGUUUUUAAAGGACGAGUCAAUGUGUAAAGUUCUGUUAU